rnacentral:tRNA from 1 species
GUGGGUAUAGUUUAGUGGUAGAAUGUGUGCUUAGCAUGCAUGAAGUCCUGGGUUCAACCUCCAGUACCUCCA